AUUGAACGCUGGCGGCAGGCCUAACACAUGCAAGUCGAGCGGAUGAAGGGAGCUUGCUCCUGGAUUCAGCGGCGGACGGGUGAGUAAUGCCUAGGAAUCUGCCUGGUAGUGGGGGAUAACGUCCGGAAACGGGCGCUAAUACCGCAUACGUCCUGAGUGAGAAAGUGGGGGAUCUUCGGACCUCACGCUAUCAGAUGAGCCUAGGUCGGAUUAGCUAGUUGGUGGGGUAAAGGCCUACCAAGGCGACGAUCCGUAACUGGUCUGAGAGGAUGAUCAGUCACACUGGAACUGAGACACGGUCCAGACUCCUACGGGAGGCAGCAGUGGGGAAUAUUGGACAAUGGGCGAAAGCCUGAUCCAGCCAUGCCGCGUGUGUGAAGAAGGUCUUCGGAUUGUAAAGCACUUUAAGUUGGGAGGAAGGGCAGUAAGUUAAUACCUUACUGUUUUGACGUUACCAACAGAAUAAGCACCGGCUAACUUCGUG
rnacentral:rRNA from 1 species